AAGCAUAAUCAAUAAAAAUGGCUGGCAAGUUCCCAUUUGUGUACUUUCUGGUAACCUUGCUUUUAAUUCUCUUCUGCUCUUCAACUAUUCUUCCCACUGCAGAAGCAGCAAAAACCAAAGAGAAGACGGCAGCAGCACACGGUCACAUGAUUAAUGGAAUUAAAUACUUUGUUCCUAGAAGCAUCUCUCCACCUGACUAUCAACGUCUCGUUCCAAUUGGACCAUAACAAAGUGAUGCUUGAGAUGGCAAGUUACUCAAUCGACCAGCUUUUGCUCUUAAAAUAAGUGUUUACUUAUAUUUGGUUUUUAAGAUUCUACUCCAAGUUGGUUUAAGAUCAUGUAUGCUAUUUCCGUCUACAUACAAAUAUUUUUAAUAAAUAAAUGCUGUUUACGGAAUGCUUUCCUAUUAUUCUUAA